UACGUAGGGUGCGAGCGUUGUCCGGAAUUAUUGGGCGUAAAGGGCUCGUAGGCGGUUUGUCGCGUCUGCCGUGAAAGUCCGGGGCUCAACUCCGGAUCUGCGGUGGGUACGGGCAGACUAGAGUGAUGUAGGGGAGACUGGAAUUCCUGGUGUAGCGGUGAAAUGCGCAGAUAUCAGGAGGAACACCGAUGGCGAAGGCAGGUCUCUGGGCAUUAACUGACGCUGGAGGAGCGAAAGCAUGGGGGAGCGAACAGG
rnacentral:rRNA from 1 species